CUUCAGCGAUGUCAGUGCAGCAACACUCAACACCGCAGCUACUUCCAUAUCAGGAUCAGCUCAAGCUGGUAAUUAGAACAUCAGACCGAACCACUUCCAGGAGUGUGGAACGCAGUGUGCCUGCAGCUGUGCGGGGUGGUCUCACAAUCUCACCAAAAGGAAGAAUUAAUGUUUUUAUUCAGCCCACGAGGACCCCAAGGC